AUGUAGAGUUUCGGUGUUUUCUCGGACUUGACAGAACUGACUGUGACGGUUUGAUGUCCAGUUGUGCAGAAUCCUGGCAGUUCAGCUCUCCGUGUUCCAGCAACCCGGGCCAUCUGAGGUUUUCUUACCCCGGAGCUGUCAACAAAUUUAUUUUGUGUGACCUUCAGGGCAAGGCUUAUGUCGCUCAUUGUCCACCAGGGGAGAUAUUUUCAGAAAUGUGUAGUUCCUGCCAUGACAGCAGUUACACACCCACCAAUUGUUAAACUUAAUCCUGAUGGUUAAGACACUUUUAAAUACAGACGUGAUGUCAAUAUGUUGUCAAUAAUCUACAAAACUUUUAUUCAUCUGGUAAAGUGUUCAUGGGUGCAUUAAAAGAUCUGUACCAUAAUAAAGUGGUUUUAAAACAACCAAAUGAAGAAGUUAAUAAAAGCUGAAAACGUGGUUUACAUUUACAUGUAAAAGAGUUUAUUUGAGAGGUUUCCAAGUUUGAAUCUUAAACAUAUGCCAAAAUAAAAAAUGUACCUCUUGAAA